UAGGCCCUGUUUAAAAGAAGUGCACUAGAUAGGGAAUAGGGUUCUAUAGACCCUGGUUAAAAUUAGUGCACUACAUAGGGAAUAGGGUGCCAUUUGGGCCACAUAGACCCACUCCAUGCUCAUUUAAAUGACCACAGACAGAGUGGUCUGUUGACCACAGCACUUUAAUCACCACCAGCCAGGCCAAGCUAAGCGAUCACAGAUCUGCUCCAGGCUAAGCAAUCACAGAUCUGCGCCAGGCCAAGCUAAGCGAUCACAGAUCUGUGCCAGGCCAAGUUAAGCGAUCACAGAUCUGUGCCAGGCCAAGUUAAGCGAUCACAGAUCUGUGCCAGGCCAAGCUAAGCGAUCACAGAUCUGUGCCAGGCCAAGCUAAGCGAUCACAGAUCUGCGUCAGGCCAAGCUAAACGAUCACAGGUCAGCGCCAGGCCAAGCUAAGCCCCGUCCUGAUUCAUACUGUACAAAACAGCUCCCCUCAUCCACAAAUCUGCAAUCCCAAUAAUCUGUCCUUUCUCCUGGAGUGUGCACUCCUUCACAAAUGUAAAAGCAUUGGAUAGGUGGAGGUAUGGACUAGACUAGAGGAUAGGUGGAGGUAUGGACUAGAGGAUAGGUGGAGGCAUGGACUAGAGGAUAGGUGGAGGUAUGGACUAGACUAGAGGAUAGGUGGAG